rnacentral:rRNA from 1 species
UACGAGGGGGGCGAGCGUUGUUCGGAAUUAUUGGGCGUAAAGGGCGCGUAGGCGGUGCGGUAAGUCACCUGUGAAACCCCGGGCUCAACUCGGGGCCUGCAGGCGAAACUGCCGUGCUGGAGUGCGGAAGAGGUGAGUGGAAUUCCCGGUGUAGCGGUGAAAUGCGUAGAUAGUCGGGAGGAACACCUGUGGCGAAAGCGGCUCACUGGACCGCAACUGACGCUGAGGC